AUUCCCAUAGGUAAGCACCUUGCAGCAGACAGUCACCCUGCUGCAGAAAGAUAAAGAAUACCUCAAUCGCCAAAACAUGGAGCUCAGUGUACGCUGUGCCCAUGAGGAGGAUCGCCUGGAAAGGUUGCAAGUUCAACUGGAAGAGACCAAAAGGGCUAGAGAAGAGAUGUAUGAGAAAUAUGUCACAUCCAGAGACCAUUAUAAAACAGAAUAUGAAAAUAAACUACAUGAUGAACUGGAACAAAUCAAAUUGAAAACUAAUCUAGAAAUUGAUCAGCUUCGAAGUGCUUCUAGGGAAAUGUAUGAACGAGAAAACAGAAAUCUCCGUGAAGCAAGAGAUAAUGCUCUCGCUGAAAAGAACCGAGCAGUGACAGCGGAAAAAGACGCUCUAGAAAAGCAUGAGCAGCUCCUAGACAGGUACAGAGAACUCCAACUUAGUACAGAAAGCAAAGUUUCCGAGUUUCUCCAUCAGAGCAAGCUGAAGUCCUUUGAAAGCGAGCGUGUUCAACUCCUGCAAGAGGAAACGGCAAGAAAUCUCACACAGUGCCAGUUGGAAUGUGAAAAAUAUCAGAAGAAAUUGGAGGUUUUAACUAAAGAAUUUUAUAGUCUCCAAGCGUCUUCUGAAAAACGCAUUACUGAACUCGAGGCACAGAACUCAGAGCAUCAGGCAAGGUUAGACAUUUACGAGAAAUUGGAAAAGGAACUUGAUGAAAUAAUAAUGCAGACAGCAGAAAGUAAGUCCGAGCUGAAAGAAUUCUUUAUUCCUAUGGCUAUGGUGCUAACGUUCCCACAACAGCUAAGAGGCGGCUAAAGCAAAGGU
rnacentral:lncRNA from 1 species